rnacentral:lncRNA from 1 species
GUGCCAAUUAUGUGCAUUAGAAACCGCUUAGAGCAAUAUUUUCACAAGAUCGAGUCAGGAUUGGGAAAAACGAUCUUUCGAAGUAUGUUUUUGGGAAGUUGCCGGUGAGUUAAGAUAUAUACUCUUCACAUUAAUGUCUACCUUCUCCAAGUCAUAUCAUGUGUGCACUUCAAUUUUCUAUACAUGUGAACUUCUUCACUGUUAUAGCUUUUUUUUUUGUAGUGAAGUUACUAUUUUUUUUUAUAUAAGGAGUGAAACUUUUCAUCUUGUAUGAUCUGACACAUGUACAUGUAGGUUGAAUCCUUCUGAAGCCAUAUAUCUUUCCAUCUUCAGUAUGUCUCAACUAUAUGAUCAUAGUAAUGUGUCUUGUGUUAUCUGUAUAUAUGUAGAUGGAGGUGGACGCAAGGUCCAUGGAAAAGCCAACAACACCGCCUGAAGGAGCCUGAACCGCCAAUCCCCAACAGGUAACCACAUCUUUGUGUCCUCUAUAUCUGAGAAUAGAUAAUGUUCAUCUGUAAACAGAGAAGCCACUUGUUUCUAUGGCAGGGAUCAACCUGUAUACUUUCUGUUAGUAAUUUAAUAGCAUCUCGUAGUGUGAAUCGAUUAUGUGGUUUUGAAGGUAAAGCAAUCUGAGAAAUGAUCUUUCUCUGAAACGAGAACACCAGAGAAAUUGUGGUGCUCUUAGCUACUGUUUUGUUGAUUGGAAAGUAAUCUCACACUGUUCAUCAACAGAAAUAAAAUAGAGAGAUGAAUAAUUAACAGGUGCUGUUUUUCCUAUGAAACAUAGGAGCUUCGGAGAACUGUGAUUAGUAAAAUUUAAAUCGGAAAACAAUUACGUCUGCCUCUCUAAAUAGCAUGGGAUGGUUUGAUUACUCAGCCAAAACAUGGAAUUUCAUAUCAUUUCAAGAACUCCUGCUACUGUACUAAAAUCUGCAACUACCUCCUUUUUUCUCCCAUGCUACUGUACUUCUUUUUUCCACACGACCAGGCCUCAUCUUGCUGACUUGAAGCAUCCCAUGCUACUAGAAUCUGCAACUAAAAUCUGUACUAAAAUCUGCAACUAAAGUCUGUACUAAAAUCUGCAACUAGCUCCUUUUUUCUCCCAUGCUACUAUACUACUGCACUAACAUCUGUACUCCCAUAUCCUCCAUUUUCCUUCCUUUUUAGUUAGUUUCUUCAGUUCAGUUCACGUGUUUUCCUUCCCAGCAAAUAGUUCACUUACACUCUGAAAAGAGGUGCUAUCUAGUGCAAUUCAAAUCACUUUUCAGUUUUCUUGUACAGACUCCAUUGUUGUCUACUAUAGUUACAUUACCAGCCUUUUCUCUUUAUUACAUUCAGCUAUGUUGAUAUAUAAACUAAGGAAAGAUACAUAACUUUGAGCAUUAUCUCAUUAUUUCAGUUCCUGAGAUAAAUUCUCAGUUCAUACUAAAUAGUUGUC